rnacentral:rRNA from 1 species
GACGAACGCCGGCGGCGUGCUUAACACAUGCAAGUCGAACGAUGAACCGGGUGCUUGCACUCGGGGAUUAGUGGCGAACGGGUGAGUAACACGUGAGCAACCUGCCCCUGACUCUGGGAUAAGCGCUGGAAACGGCGUCUAAUACUGGAUAUGUCCCGUCACCGCAUGGUGUGCGGGUGGAAAGAUUUUUCGGUUGCGGAUGGGCUCGGGGCCUAUCAGCUUGUGGGUGAGGUAAUGGCUCACCAAGGCGUCGACGGGUAGCCGGCCUGAGAGGGUGACCGGCCACACUGGGACUGAGACACGGCCCAGACUCCUACGGGAGGCAGCAGUGGGGAAUAUUGCACAAUGGGCGGAAGCCUGAUGCAGCAACGCCGCGUGAGGGAUGACGGCCUUCGGGUUGUAAACCUCUUUUAGCAGGGAAGAAGCGAGAGUGACGGUACCUGCAGAAAAAGCACCGGCUAACUACGUGCCAGCCGCCGCCGUAA